AGGCGUCAUAGUUGCAAGGAGACAAAGGCCGGUUCUGUGAAUGGAUUAUAAACCAGAGUCACACCCUCUACAAGGAGAAAUGAUGAAUUUCUUCCUGUUGGACAUCCGUGUUUUCAAGCUGUCUGACCUGAAUGGCACUACAAAAGACCUUGCUGACCAGGGUUUUUGAGGCUGAGUAAGGAGAAGGAAUGAUGCACGCUGUCUAGCUGAGUGUGGAUUAUCAUCCAUUUUAGUAAGCUUCCUAUAGUCCAUCAUGGCUGCAUUAGUGAGGGCUACAUGAAUGAUCAGGCAUUUGCAGCAUUAAAAUCUCAUUAAGAAUAAAAUAAGGGAAGUGAUUUCCUAGGAGAGACAGCAGGUGGUCUAUCAGCUCUGAAGGCUGAGUAUCAUUGAGGCUGGGCAAGGAAAGCAACUAUUUGGCAUGCUCAGAUCCCGAUCGUCCAAAAGGCUGUAAAAGUUCACCCCAAAAUCUAACACUCACACUUUGGGCAACCGACAAUGGCCAAUUAAUCUACCAACCAAUAUGUUCUUGAGAUGUCAGAGGAAACCAGAGCAACUGGAGAAAGUCCAUGCAGUCUCAGGGCUGUCGGGCAAACAGAACAUGGAGAGCACCAGAGGUCAGGUCUACUGGAGCUGAGGGGCAUCAGGCCUACCAAAGUUGUUGUUCUUUUGUCCCCAUUUAACAAAGGUGAAUCCCUUCGUGAAGGAUAACGGCUUCCAACUGAACAGAGUAGCUAUAUUUCAGAAUUUAAUCAAAAUCUGUGAGCAAAUUGCGUGAAAUGAUGUAGUUCUGUCGGAGUCUGUGAUCUACAGUUCAAACUACAGCUCUUUGCAAGCGAUGGGUUUCCGGACGGACUGUGCGGCUGGUGCUUCACUAUCUCCAGGAAGACAUGUGCCCUCAGGGCUGGGAGGUCGACGUUGGGGAGUGACCCCGUG